rnacentral:rRNA from 1 species
UACGAAGGGGGCUAGCGUUGUUCGGAAUUACUGGGCGUAAAGCGCACGUAGGCGGAUACUUAAGUUAGGGGUGAAAUCCCAGAGCUCAACUCUGGAACUGCCUUUAAUACUGGGUAUCUCGAGUCCGGAAGAGGUGAGUGGAAUUCCGAGUGUAGAGGUGAAAUUCGUAGAUAUUCGCAAGAACACCAGUGGCGAAGGCGGCUCACUGGCCCGAUACUGACGCUGAGGCACGAAAGCGUGGGGAGCAAACAGG